rnacentral:rRNA from 1 species
UACGUAGGUGGCAAGCGUUGUCCGGAAUUAUUGGGCGUAAAGCGCGCGCAGGCGGCCUCCUAAGUCCGAUGUGAAAGCCCACGGCUCAACCGUGGAGGGUCAUUGGAAACUGGGGGAUUGAGUGCAGGAGAGAAGAGUGGAAUUCCACGUGUAGCGGUGAAAUGCGUAGAGAUGUGGAGGAACACCAGUGGCGAAGGCGACUCUUUGGCCUGUAACUGACGCUGAGGCGCGAAAGCGUGGGGAGCAAACAGG